AAGGUAGCCGUACGAGAACGUGCGGCUGGAUCACCUCCUUUUUAAGGAGUAAACAUGCGCUUUAAGUUUGCUUAAAACGAGAUGUUAAUGGUCGACUUUGGAUUAUAAUGUUUGAAUCAGAUUCAGCGGGGCGUUUGUUUGUGUGUUGUUGAAGCUAUUUUAUGGGAAGGUGCGAGUUGUAUAAACGGGCCUAUAGCUCAGUUAGUCAGAGCGCACCCCUGAUAAGGGUGAGGUCUGUGGUGCAACUCCACAUAGGCCCACCAACCGGUAUAUGGUGUAGCCGUAAUUGGUAAAAGAGAG
rnacentral:tRNA from 1 species